CUACGGGGGGCAGCAGUCGAGAAUCUUCCGCAAUGGACGAAAGUCUGACGGAGCGACGCCGCGUGCGGGAUGAAGGCCUUCGGGUUGUAAACCGCUGUCAGUGGGGAGGAAAUGCAUCAGGGUUCUCCCUGGUGUUUGACCGAUCCGCAGAGGAAGCGCAGGCUAAGUUCGUGCCAGCAGCCGCGGUAACACGAACUGCGCGAACGUUAUUCGGAAUCACUGGGCUUAAAGAGUUCGUAGGCGGCCUUUCAAGUUGGGUGUGAAAUCCCUCGGCUCAACCGAGGAAUUGCGCCUGAUACUGUUGGGCUUGAGGGGGAUAGGGGUGAGCGGAACUGAUGGUGGAGCGGUGAAAUGCGUUGAUAUCAUCAGGAACACCGGUGGCGAAGGCGACUCACUGGAUCUCUUCUGACGCUGAGGAACGAAAGCUAGGGGAGCGAACGGGAUUAGAUACCCGGGUAGUC
rnacentral:rRNA from 1 species